rnacentral:rRNA from 1 species
GGACGCGCCCCAGGCGCACCCAGAAACCCUUUGUGAACUUAUACCUUUUGUUGCCUCGGCGCAUGCUGGCCUCUAGUAGGCCCCUCACCCCGGUGAGGAGAAGGCACGCCGGCGGCCAAGUUAACUCUUGUUUUUACACUGAAACUCUGAGAAAAAACACAAAUGAAUCAAAACUUUCAACAACGGAUCUCUUGGUUCUGGCAUCGAUGAAGAACGCAGCGAAAUGCGAUAAGUAAUGUGAAUUGCAGAAUUCAGUGAAUCAUCGAAUCUUUGAACGCACAUUGCGCCCUCUGGUAUUCCGGAGGGCAUGCCUGUUCGAGCGUCAUUUCAACCCUCAAGCAUUGCUUGGUGUUGGGGCACUGCUUCUAACGAAGCAGGCCCUGAAAUCUAGUGGCGAGCUCGCCAGGACCCCGAGCGUAGUAGUUAAACCCUCGCUCUGGAAGGCCCUGGCGGUGCCCUGCCGUUAAACCCCCAACUUUUAAAAUUGA